UACGUAGGGGGCUAGCGUUGUCCGGAUUUAUUGGGCGUAAAGAGCGUGUAGGCGGCCAGGUAGGUCUGCUGUGAAAAGUCGAGGCUCAACCUCGAGACGUCGGCGGAAACCAUCUGGCUAGAGUCCGGAAGAGGAGAGUGGAAUUCCUGGUGUAGCGGUGAAAUGCGCAGAUAUCAGGAGGAACACCAAUUGCGAAGGCAGCUCGCUGGGACGUUACUGACGCUGAGACGCGAAAGCGUGGGGAGCAAACAGG
rnacentral:rRNA from 1 species